GAUGAACGCUGGCGGCGUGCCUAAUACAUGCAAGUCGAGCGAACAGACGAGGAGCUUGCUCCUCUGACGUUAGCGGCGGACGGGUGAGUAACACGUGGAUAACCUACCUAUAAGACUGGGAUAACUUCGGGAAACCGGAGCUAAUACCGGAUAAUAUAUUGAACCGCAUGGUUCAAUAGUGAAAGACGGUUUUGCUGUCACUUAUAGAGGGAUCCGCGCCGCAUUAGCUAGUUGGUAAGGUAACGGCUUACCAAGGCAACGAUGCGUAGCCGACCUGAGAGGGUGAUCGGCCACACUGGAACUGAGACACGGUCCAGACUGCUACGGGAGGCAGCAGUAGGGAAUCUUCCGCAAUGGGCGAAAGCCUGACGGAGCAACGCCGCGUGAGUGAUGAAGGUCUUCGGAUCGUAAAACUCUGUUAUUAGGGAAGAACAAAUGUGUAAGUAACUAUGCACGUCUUGACGGUACCUAAUCAGAAAGCCACGGCUAACUACGUG
rnacentral:rRNA from 1 species